rnacentral:tRNA from 3 species
GGAGAGGUGGCCGAGUGGUUGAAGGCGCAGACCUGGAAAGUCUGUAAGCGCCAAAAGUGCUUCGAGGGUUCGAAUCCCUCCCUCUCCGCCA